CCAUUAUCUUCUACUUUCAGCUUCUUAGCCUUCCCCGUCAUCUCCGAGUUUCUUCUUGUUUGCGUCCCAUCGCUCGUCUGCCGGAGACCCGCCUUGUCGUGAAAAGCCCCACACACCGCCUCUUCUUCUCCGUCGGCUGGACCUGCAUCACGGAAGAAGUAAACAAACUUUAUUAGAGAAAUCUUAGUCAACCUUAUGGCCCGGAGCUUUUUUUUUUUGGCCGCUGCUGGAUAUUUGGGUGUGGGUCGACGUAUUUAUGUUGGUGAUUUCUGCCCACCAUUUCCGGGGUGGGACUAAAUAGAAAUUACCGUCGAUGCCAUCGCCGACUCGCCGAGUCCCCGGGCUCCGUCGCGCGCCGCUCCGGCUCCCCCUGCACGCGCUCCUCGUCGCCCGCCUCCUCUCCCACGGGUCCCGGGCUCCGUCGCGCGCCGCUCCGGCUCUCCCUGCACGCACUCCUCGUCGCCCGCCUCCUCUCCCACGGGAUCCACUCGCUGGCUCGCCGCUCCGCCCUGAGCUCCACGCCCUCGGCGCCGACUGCCUGCCUCCACUCGUCGGCGUCCACCGUACGUGCCCUACUGCUCUAACGUCCAAGAUUUUCUGUUUUCCCAAACCCUCUGCUGCCGCCGCUUCCUAGGUUUUCCUGCGCCGCCAACGCUGCUGCCGGUGCGCCUGCUGUUGCUCGCUAUUGCCGGUGCCCCUGCAGCUGCCUUCGCUACUUGCUGCUGUCCGGAAGUCACCCGUGGGGGUGUUCUUCGAUAUGGACUUCGAGAUUAGCAGCACACGCAAGGGGCUCUGAUCUACUACUACUUGUUUGCGUGAUGCUGCUGGUCCAAUCGGGAAACAAGACAUCGAAGUUGAUCUGUUUGAGUAGAGAGUAGUUGGAGGAAAGAAGAAAGAAGAUAAAUCAUCAUCCGAAGAAGAGUCUCUCCAAAUUCGUGGAAUUUGUCCCAAAUUAGUUCUCUUCUCCUGAAGCAAUUUCGAGUCAGAACCAGGACAUGGUUACAAAUCAAAAUUUUGGCUGUAGAUGGAUCUUUCGGUUUUGUAAUUGAGCCAUGCAUCUUCUUGCCAUACAGGGAUUUGUCUUUCAACUUGCUGUAUGGAGGUAUCCCCUUCUCCCAUCUGCAAGCUCAAGCAACUUGAGGACCUGUAAGCACUGGAUUAAUAAUUCUUUUUGCCUCACUUUUAGCAGAGCUGAGAUGCUCUAGGUUUAUCUUCUUCAUAUUACUGGUUUUUUUUUGUGAUAUCUUCUAGGAAACCAUUAUAGGUGUUUUUAUUUGUAGGAAGCAUCAUGUAGUAAGUGUUUUUCAUGAGUUCUUCUUAGUUCAGAAUUGCUGUAAGGUGGACCUCUCAGUUUGUUCCUAGGUCUUAGGUGUUUGUUUUCAACAAUUAUAUUUAAUGUUGUGUUAUAGCCCAGCAUGUUGGUACAAAUAUUAUGCCUUCACAUUCUGUAGAUUAGUGUCAAGACCUAUGUGGAUAAGUGCUGCAAUUCCGAAAAAAAUCCUCUGGAUCUCAGCUUCAGUAUAGAGCUGCUAAAAGUAUUGAUUAUCUACAAUAUACUAUUAAUUUUGGUGUUCCGAAUGUAGCUCAGUACUUAUGCAUAUUAAUAUCUACUCCCUCCGUCCGGGAUAAUGAGUCAAUUGUAUUUUCCCAAUAUCUACUAUUCAGUUAUGUGCAGAUAACUACUACCUCCGAUCCAAAAUAAGUGUCGCAGAUGAGACACUUAUUUUGAAUUAUGUUUGAACUAGACUUAGUUCAAAAGUAAGAGCAUGAAAGUUUUAGUUGUGAAAACUUGCAUGAACCUUUCAUACUCUUACUUUUCUGUUCCAUGGACAGAACACUAUAGAAGUCACAUGUUUAUCCUUUUAUGCGCAUCUCAUGACAGGACCAUGUGGGUACCACCAUACCAGUCAUCCUAAAGCUGCAUGAAAUUAAUUGCUGCAUCGCUUUCUUUUCUACCUCACCUCAUGUAAAGGCACAUCAUUUUUGAACAAGAAUACAAGGUACAUGGUCAGCUCUAAAGUGCAUGCUAUAUGAUGUAAACCAAACUUUUAUCAACCCCUAACAAAUAGUUGUAAUCAAAGUAUCCAAAACUUCACGGACAAUUUCUUCUGCCGACUUCACCUGCUACAACUGUUUAGGUGCACUGAGUGUGCUAUUUCCAAAUGUUUUUUAUUCUGUGUGUUUAGAUAACAUCUGGUAUACAACUCCAUACAAAACUAUCAUUGCUCCAUAUAUGCAACAGUACAAUUGAUCGCCUGAAAAGACUACCAUGCAAACAUGUUCGAUUGAACCUACAUAGGCAUUUAACCUCUCUCCCUACACGCUUACCAAUUUCCAAUAUACAACACCAAUCAAUCUUGCAACUUCCUUUGUAGUACUCUCCAUGGUUUUCAAGUCGCCGAGUCGAGUCGCCCUCUCACAGACUUGGGGACUAGGUAGACUAGUCUGUGACUAGGCUGGACUAGUCGACCCAAGUCGACUUGACUAGUAGAAACAUUUAUAAAUCAUUUAGUGCAUCCAAAAUAGGUUUAGCAGCAUCAGUUGAAGGGAAAGAGAGACAUAGGAGAGCAGAGCAGCACUGGACUUGGACACAGAGAUAGAAAUUGUAUGCAAAAUUGAACAGAGGAUAGAGCACUGGAGCAGAUUUCAGAAAUCAAAACAGAGUAGAAAUCAAAUUGGGGUGGCAGAGGUGGAGGAGUCAGGCGGCAGGUCUCAGGGCGCAGAUUUCUGGAGAGGACGGGAGGAGUGAGCGCAUCCAGGCAGCAGAGGCACCCUGCGGAGGAAGCAGCAUCGUCGAGGCCACAUCCCGGGGCGGCGGCGGUGGCAGCGCCAUCCGCCAGGUCUUCCCCGCCCUUUCCUGCCGCUUCCCCACCCGUUCCCUCCCUUUCCCUCCUCUUCCUUGGUGAAUCCCGCCCGAUUCUCUCUCCCGGGAGACCUAUAUACAGCCCGAAAUUUUCCUGGCAUGUGGGGCUUUCAGUGGGCAAGUCGGGUGGCUCGUGGCUUGCAGUCGCCGACUAGUCGGAGCUAGUCUCCGGCGAGUCCCCUAGUCGCGCGACUCGCCCUGCAAGUCGAGCCGCCGGCGCAAGUCUCGCCUGCUGCACAGACUUGGGGACUAGUCGCCGACUAAUCGCCGACUCAAAAACCAUGGUACUCUCACAUCCAUGCAUAUAUCUUCAUGUCUACACAGGUCCAUAUGGGCAUCAGUACUUCGCCGACUUCGAUCUCAGUUUUUUUUUCUACGGAAACCAAUUUACUAUGAACGCCGAACAAGUCAGGCGCUUGCAGCAGCUCCUGUCAACAAGCAACCCUCAGAUAAGCUACGCACCAAGCAGUCGAAACAGAAGGCUGGCCAAUAAAACAGCCACGAUUAACACAGACAGCAGUAGGAGCGACAAUAGAACCACAGAUCAGCAAAACUAACCAACCUGACAAACGAAUUCGUCCACGACGCUGAGCCGACAGCGACAGCAGAACACACCGCCGAGAAGCAUCAGCGAAGAACGAGACAAAGAUCUUUUUUGGUAUGCCAUGCUCUACUUUGUUCCCUUGAUUAUGGGUUGACCUUGCGUGCGCUUCCUAAAAUUGCAGAGAUUUUUACUUGAAGGAAAUCCAUAUCUUCUGGGAUCGACCUUGAUUUUUUCGUUGUUCCAUUCCCUGUUUGAUUUUUUUGGCUUUCAAGAAUGUACAUUGCACUGUUUCUUUAUACCAUAAACGCAAGUAUAUAAUCCAAUAAUAAAUCGGCAUGUAACGAUGAUGGUGUCACAAUGUUCAGAUAUCCAGUUUUGGAAUAAGAACAAGUCCAUGGAAGGUCUAUCGGCAAAAUUUGUGGUUCUGAACUUCAUGUCAGCUGGUUAUUUUUCUUUACCUGCUUGACAAUGAUACUUCAUGGAUGAUCCUUGCUAGCUCUGGAAUUGGUGUGCAACUGUGCAUUGAAUUUUGGAAGAUCGGAAAAGCGAUGCAUGUUGAGGUUAUUGUUGUUUGAAGGAGAGCAACAAAAUGCAGAAGACAGACGUGGAUCUGGGGAAAGCAUUCUGAAUCACCCCUCCUCUGUCUGGGUGACAUUGCGAAUUUCUCUGAUAAUCCAGUGAAUUUUCACCUCCUGCUCCUCCUUACACUGCUCUCUCCGCUCUUUUUUUCUUCCUUCCACCUUCCCUUAUCUGCUAUACUGCUAAAACUUUAUAGUUCCAUUGCUUGCUUCAGUUUGGCGUCUGACACUUAGAAACUGAUUAGCUGAGGUCAAUAGGUGCAUAUCUCUGAAGUUAUCCAUUACUAAUGUAGGGUCCUCCAUUAUGGUAUAUUGAAAUUUCGGUUCAUUUUUUUAAUCAUCACUGUCUUGCUCAUUUCUCUAAAUUGUAAACCUGGUUGCAUGGGACAAGAAAACCUUUAUCAAUAGUUUAUACACCUGAAAUGGAUGCUCUGUGCUAGACUUAGUUUACAUCUUUCUUAGAGUGGCUCGACAAAGGUCGGUUUCACAUUCUUUAGGUGAUUGCUCAGUUUUUUAUGUUGGUGAUUUUGCCCCAGAUACAUGCCUGUGGAAAAACAAUUAAAAGGCUAAAGAACUCGACUCAUGUUUAGUUCUCCUCAUUAAUAAAGAUUGGGCUGCGUCAAGAACAAGGUUUUUCUGAGUGAAAAUUGAAUUUUUUUUAUAAGCUGUCGAUGUUUAGAUCCUGAUUUAUUGCUACAUAAGUACAUAUAUUCUUGCCCGCCUGUUCACCCGAGCUUUAAGCUGUCAUGCUAUUAUCAUUCUGCAAAUUUAAAUGCAGCCACGUAGCACUUGAAGAAAGAUACGAAUUAGACUACCUAACUUGAUUGAUCUCAUACAUUAGGCAUGCUGUAUAAAAGCAUUGCACGUGCUGUCAGGAUCAUUGAUGUUAGUAGACCUGCAUAAAGAAUUGCUAUACCUCACACUAACAUCAAUUGUAAGAGCCUUAGUAUUAUCUGUUUAUUAAUGUUGAUGUGGUUCUCACUAAGGAGCAUUUGUAAUAUUACAAGCUAAAACUCUUAUAGAAUGUUUGUUUACUUGUAUCGUAUUUAUGCAACUACCAAGGAAAGCCUCAAAAUCAUGUCACCUCCAGAGAUGAGGCUUCUAAAGUAUCUACUCUAGAGGUUAGAUCGCCUUUAUUUUCUGUAUAUUAAUUUUGACUCAUUUUCUAAGCACCAUCGCACACUGCACAUGAAAAACACAUGUCUAGAAUACUAGAGAGUCAAGUUUGAAUUAUUGCCCUCUAAAUUUUGAUUUUACUGUUAUAUGGUUGAUUUUUGUUUUAUUGGUCUUCUAUGUUGAGAACUAACGUAAAUUAUUGUGGAGGUAUAUAUUUUGGCCUUCUUAUGAUGGUGGAGUAGAUUAUUUGGUUCUCCUUUUUCUUAGAAUGCUAUAUAAAUUGAAUUUCUUUUUAUUUCUUGUGUAGGAUACAUGAAUCCUUCGGGGCAAUGGGAAGAGUAUCCCUGUUAGUAGGGGCAAAAGCGGCUAGACAGAAAUAAUUCCUGAAGUCUUGCAGGGGCAAAGAAGCCUCCAGCCAAAAAGAGCCAAAAACCACUACUCGUUGCACCAAUAAUAAUUCCUGAAGUUGUGCAGCCAGCAACUAAGAGAAGCCUCCUGCAUUGGCUUGGGGCCGGGCUAGAAUCUGGACCAUGCAUGUUUGUUCAUGACCUGCUUCUGUGUGUUUUCUUCUGGAAUCUGGUUAUGAACUAUGUUUGUUCGUGGAUUACUUGCGUGUUGGUGUGUGCUCUUUUGUAAUCUGGUUAUGGACCAUGUUUUUUCAUGGCACACAUUAGAUCUUUGAACCUGAACAUGAAUGGUGACCUGCUGUUUAUCACAUGCUUGAAAUAUCAAAUGUUUAUGGUCUCCCUUUUAUUACCAA